rnacentral:rRNA from 1 species
UCUCGGUGGCCCUGCAAUUUAACCCCAAUUCCCCGAAGUGGGGGCCUUUGUGUUUUUUUUGGUUCGGAUGAACCCCGGGGCCCCCCUAAACAUCCAAGUAAAGGGGACGGACGGGAGCUAGUUCCGUUAGGUCAGCGGCGGACGGCUGAUUAACAUUUGGGUAACCUGCUUGUAAGAUUGGGAUAAUUCCGGGAAACCGGGGUUAAUACCGGAUGCUUGAUUGAACCGCAUGGUUCAAUCAUAAAAGGUGGCUUUUAGCUACCACUUACAGAUGGACCCGCGGCGCAUUAGCUAGUUGGUGAGGUAACGGCUCACCAAGGCGACGAUGCGUAGCCGACCUGAGAGGGUGAUCGGCCACACUGGGACUGAGACACGGCCCAGACUCCUACGGGAGGCAGCAGUAGGGAAUCUUCCGCAAUGGACGAAAGUCCGACGGAGCAACGCCGCGUGAGUGAUGAAGGUUUUCGGAUCGUAAAACUCUGUUGUUCGGGAAGAACAAGUACCGUUCGAAUAGGGCGGUACCUUGACGGUACCUAACCAGAAAGCCACGGCUAACUACGUGCCAGCAGCCGCGGUAAUACGUAGGUGGCAAGCGUUGUCCGGAAUUAUUGGGCGUAAAGCGCGCGCAGGCGGUUUGUUAAGUCUGAUGUGAAAGCCCCCGGCUCAACCGGGGAGGGUCAUUGGAAACUGGGGAACUUGAGUGCAGAAGAGGAGAGUGGAAUUCCACGUGUAGCGGUGAAAUGCGUAGAGAUGUGGAGGAACACCAGUGGCGAAGGCGACUCUCUGGUCUGUAACUGACGCUGAGGCGCGAAAGCGUGGGGAGCGAACAGGAUUAGAUACCCUGGUAGUCCACGCCGUAAACGAUGAGUGCCUAAGUGUUACGAGGGUUUCCGCCCUUUAGUGCCUGCAGCAAACGCAUUAAGCAUCCCCCCGGGAGACGG